UAUGUCCUAUGGUGGAAAGGAAUUCUCCAAUAUUUCUCUACUGAACUUCUGAAGAACUUAGUUGCUUCCAUUCUAAGAGAAGGAACUCCUUGAAAUAUACCUGAGACAGAGAGCAGAAGAAAUGGGCAGGGGCAGCAGCGGUUUCACCACAGACUGACAUACCUUGGGGCACUGCCACUACAGAUGCCAAGUUAUGGAAAUCCUGAGCAUGAAAAGAAAUCACAAAGAAAUAGAAAUGAAGAUUCAGUGGGAAAAAUUAAUGUUGAGAAGCAGCAGGAGAAUCUGGAAUUAAACCAGGAAAUAGAUACAAUCCUCUUUCAAGGAUGAAAUCCAUGUGGACAAUAGAACCUGUCAGCACUGGAGUUCCAUGGAUAGCAGAGCACGCCAGAACCUGGAUAUGAGACAGAUUCAAAGAAGUAGGGGAGCAAUCUGGGAAAGAAGAUCCUGGCAAUGCAGACCAGGAAGAAGUUGAAUAACAGGAGAAAACAGCAGAAGGCAGCAAGUGGAGAUCCACAUAAGAAGACGGUUGAGACAAGGAGUUUCUAAGGUAGAUUGUGAGUAUUUCAGCAAGUGGAAAUAGCAUAGCAUCAGGGUAGUUUGGGGGCAAAUAGUGUUUGGUGGAGAUCCUAGCUAGCAACUAGUCAGCAUGCAUGAAAGAUUGGAAGAAGGUAGUGGGGA
rnacentral:lncRNA from 1 species